rnacentral:rRNA from 1 species
UGAGGAAUAUUGGUCAAUGGGCGAGAGCCUGAACCAGCCAAGUCGCGUGAAGGAAGACAGUCCUAAGGAUUGUAAACUUCUUUUAUACGGGAAUAACGGGCGAUACGAGUAUUGCAUUGAAUGUACCGUAAGAAUAAGCAUCGGCUAACUCCGUGCCAGCAGCCGCGGUAAUACGGAGGAUGCGAGCGUUAUCCGGAUUUAUUGGGUUUAAAGGGUGCGUAGGUUGUUCGGUAAGUCAGCGGUGAAACCUGAGCGCUCAACGUUCAGCCUGCCGUUGAAACUGCCGGGCUUGAGUUCAGUGGCGGCAGGCGGAAUUCGUGGUGUAGCGGUGAAAUGCAUAGAUAUCACGGGGAACUCCGAUUGCGAAGGCAGCUUGCCAUACUGCGACUGACACUGAAGCACGAAGGCGUGGGUAUCAAACAGG